CUUGAUUGAUGGGGGGGCUCAUGUGAUGCAAG
rnacentral:rRNA from 1 species